UCCCAGGUGGUCUGGUGGUUAAGACACUGUGCUUCCACUGCAGGGGGCAUGGGUUCGAUCCCUGGUUGGGGAA
rnacentral:tRNA from 1 species